rnacentral:lncRNA from 1 species
UCAAAAUGGUGUGAUUAUUGAGGGAAGAUGGUCAGGUGUUCUCGUUCGUCGCUUCCUUGUGAGGGGGAAGGUGAUGUUUUGGAUAGGUAUGAGCCAGUGGUGUGUUGAGUAUCUUGGCAUGUUCCCUAAGGAUGUGUAAGGUUUGUAUUUUGUUGAACAAGUUGACGUCAUUCUUGAAAUGAAUUGGUUGGAGUUUAACCAAGUGUUU